rnacentral:rRNA from 1 species
UAAGUAAGCGGAGGACAAGAAACUAAACAGGAUCCCCAUAGUAAUGGCGAAUGAACCGGGAUAAACUCAGCAUGGAAAUUGGGGCCUUUGGCUUUGACUUGUAAUCUGGUGAGGCAUUGCCAACAGAGGCGCAUAUGUAAGUCUCUUGGAAAAGAGCACCAACGAAGGUGAGAGUCCUGAUUGUCAUGUGCAGCCCCCCUGUGCACGGUGUGCCUUCUAAGAGUCACGUUCCUUGGGAUUGGAGCGCAAAUUGGGUGGUAACUUUCAUCUGAAGUUAAACAAUGGUUUGGGACCGAUAGGAAACAAGUACCAUGAGGGAAAGGUGAAAAGGACUUUGGAAAGAGAGUUAAAAGUGCCUGAAAUUGCUGAAGGGGAAGCGAAUGGAACCAGUAGUGCUGGGUGAGAUUGUCACAUGCUACAAGGAUUGGUUGCUGCCACAACGCAAGUGUGAUGGCAAUGUAUGAAUUGCUAGUGUGUGGUGUGUCUUACCUAGUGGGUCAUUGUGGGUUUAUGCAUUAAGAUAAGUCAAAGCAAGCGGGAGCAAGUUUACGAGUUUGUGAAUGUGUGUUGUUAUGCUUGUGCGUAAGCUUUAGUGUUUGUCUGGCUGCAGGGCUGUCCAUCCUCAAGCAGGACUUGUGGUUGCGAUGAGCAUAACCUUCUGCACAGAUCUUGACGAAAUGGUGUCAUUCGACCCG